UCCCAGCUGGCUCAGUGGAUAAAGAAUCUGCCUGCAAUGCAGAAGAUGCCAGAGAAAUGGGUUUGAUUCCUGGGUUGGGAA
rnacentral:tRNA from 1 species